rnacentral:piRNA from 1 species
UAAGACAGCUAGCAUAGUUCCCUCGGAGU